rnacentral:lncRNA from 1 species
AUGCCCGGGAUAUGUUGUGCUGUUGGAUGCGACAACAGUCGCCAAAGAAACCCAGAUAUACAAUUUCAUUCUAUUCCAAAAAAUUUAGAUCGGCGGAAUAAAUGGUUGGCUGCAAUUAGAAGAGACAACUGGCAGCCAACAUCUAACUCCAGAUUGUGCAGUCAACACUUUGUAUCCGGGAAAAGUGAGAACCCCAUGAGCCCUGAUUAUGUACCCAGUCUGUUUGUACACACUUCAGCUGGACAGCGGCAGAAAAACGCCUAUGCCAACAGAAGGUUUGAGCAUACCCAGCAGAUGAAACGCAAAAGGACUGAGACUUUGGCCCCUAUAAAUUAUUACGCCUACCAUGAGACUGUGGCCGCUUCCAGCACCAGUGAUGACACUGAGCAAGAUGACAACAUGGAAGUACGGGCAGAAUGCACGAAGGGUGAGCACAAUUACUCCCAAGCCAUGCAUAGCCCAUGCAUCGUGGGACCAUGCUCGAAAGCAGCCUGCCGAGCUACAGUCAAGGCAUUGACAGAUGAAUGUGCACAAUUUACAGCUGAGAUUCAUCGUCUAAAGGACAACGCUGAUGAGCUGUCUUUGAGCGAAGAGGCUUCCAAAGGAAAUUAUGACAUGUCCAAGCAGGACAAAUCAGCAACAUACCAAGACUAUGAAGACCCCAUCCAGCCAGAGCUUGUGUCUGCGACCAACAUAUUCCGGACAAAGAUUCUGUCUCUCAUGGAGUCUUUUAUGGUGAGGACGACAUCAGAAAUCGUCUCCUUAUUUGACGAAAUUUAUAUGGGAGCUGAAAUUAAGUUAAUGCAGAAGAGAAAGGAAGUGGAAGCCCUCACAGAGAGACUGAAGGAGAGCGAGCGAUUGUGUGCUCAGAAUGUGUGUCACAACCUGCCAGACCUCAAAGUGGAGAGAGGACAGGAGCUUUUGGAAAGUGUCCUGUCCUAUGGACAAUCCGUCCCAGAAAAGACAGAGACUGUGGAGGUUUCCCUGGAGUGUGUGGUGCUGAAGGCAGAGGAAUCAAUGACCCCAGAACCAGUGGUGCUGCCAUGUGAGUACCAGCUGGAUUCAAGCAGUGCAACUGACAAUCAGCAGGAGCCCCUGAGCAGAGCUGAGGAGGAGCUGCUGGGUGCUCCAGUUGAAGAAGAAGAGGGAGCUGAGAGCCCGCCCCCUCCUGUAGGGCAGUCACUCCAAAUGGAGCAGGAAACAACACGCUCUGCUGCCACAGCAGGACAAGGAUCCAGCGUGGCUGCACAGGACUCUGCCAGUGUGAGGCAGAAUCAGGUACUCAAUGGUGCUCCAGAGUCAGACCCUCCUGCUGUUCGACGCCGUGGUCGGCCUCCUGGUAGGAAGAACUUCAUCUCCUCUUCAUCACAGCACACAAGUUCUUCUCAGGCCCUGCAAACUGAAGAUGAUGUAAAUGCAAUGGGGCUCACUAAAAAACCUAAAAAAAGAUUGCGGCUUCGAGACUUUCCUACUUGGCAGGAGUUCAAAAAGCGUAAGUACCUCAUUGGUAACACAUGUUCUAUGGAGAUCCUCUAA